UGAGUAACCUGCCCUGGACUUUGGGAUAACCCUCGGAAACGGGGGCUAAUACCGGAUAUGACGGCUCACCGCAUGGUGUGGUUGUGGAAAGUUUUUCGGUCUGGGAUGGGCUCGCGGCCUAUCAGCUUGUUGGUGGGGUGAUGGCCUACCAAGGCGACGACAGGUAGCCGGCCUGAGAGGGCGACCGGCCACACUGGGGCUGAGACACGGCCCAGACUCCUACGGGAGGCA
rnacentral:rRNA from 1 species